rnacentral:rRNA from 1 species
AACCUGCGGAGCGCAUCAUUA